rnacentral:rRNA from 1 species
UACAGAGGUCUCAAGCGUUGUUCGGAUUCAUUGGGCGUAAAGGGUGCGUAGGCGGCGCGGUAAGUCGGGUGUGAAAUUUCGAGGCUUAACUUCGAAACUGCAUUCGAUACUGCCGUGCUAGAGGACUGGAGAGGAGACUGGGAUUUACGGUGUAGCGGUGAAAUGCGUAGAUAUCGUAAGGAAGACCAGUGGCGAAGGCGGGUCUCUGGACAGUUCCUGACGCUGAGGCACGAAGGCCAGGGGAGCAAACGGG